GAUGAACGCUAGCGGCAGGCCUAAUACAUGCAAGUCGAACGAUACCAUCUGGCUUGCCAGAUGGGAAAGUGGCGCACGGGUGCGUAACGCGUACGCAACCUACCUUAAUUAAGGGGAUAGCCCGAAGAAAUUCGGAUUAACACCGCAUAAAAACACAGUACGGCAUCGUACAAUGAUCAAAUAUUUAUAGGAUAGAGAUG
rnacentral:rRNA from 1 species